rfam:Aedes albopictus isolate Foshan contig327174, whole genome shotgun sequence.
UAGCCUAGUGGUAAAGGCUAUGGAUCGCCAAUCCGGAGACGGUGGGUUCGAUUCCCGU